AAUGUUUAGUAGCCUCAAGCUCAUAAGUAUGGGCACCUACAUGACCAUGAACAAGACUCUACUAGACACUGCUCCAUGACCUGGGACAUAAAGCCUAAGCUCUGAUACCAACUUUGUCACGUCCCAAACUACCCUCUAGACGUUAGUGGCACCCAGCUAACACCACAUGCCGGGAGAACCAUACUUUCUUACCUUAGCCAUUUAUUUGCAGCAUUUGAUUAAUUAAAUGAGUAUACAAAUAAUUUGAUAACUAUUACGAACAAUUAAUAUCUCAAAAUAUUAGAUUAAAACUCUGGCCCAAAUCCCACACUAGACCACGGAGCAUCUAAGAGAAUUACAAAAGACCUCAUAUGAAUAAAUGAUAAAGACUCUUUGGAUAUCCUCCACGAACAAUGCGGCGGCUCACCUCAAUAACUUAAUCAACUCUAGCGAACUCGUCGGCUACUAUCACCUUCUUCACCAAUAGUAUCUGCAUGGACAUGCAGGUAAGGAGUGAGUUAUACGUAAAUAUAACCCAGUAAGAUCAUCGACCCGCCACUCUGAUUACCUCUGGAACAAGUGUUAGAAAAACAAAUACACAACGAGCACACCAAUAAUAUGUACAGAAAUUAAUUACUAUAUAAGUUCCAAACAAUUAUUCAACAACAAUACUAUAUAUACCUCAACACAAUCUACACUAAGGACUUGUCAUUAACGGUAGUGUAGAAAAUUAACCAAACACCCCCACGAGUCCACGACAGCAUGCACAAUGCUUCAAAUCUAUCACGACAGCAUACAUAAUGCCCCAAAUAUAUAGCGGCGGCAUACACAAUGCCCAAAAAUCUAUCACGGUGGAAUACACAAUGCCCCAAAUAUAUAGAGGCGGCAUACACAAUGCCCAAAUCUAUCACGGCGGCAUACACAAUGCCCUAAAUAUAUAGCGGCAGCAUACACAAUGCCCCAAAUAUAUUACGACAGCAAAGAAAUAAUUUCUAAUGCUCCGACGCCAUACCACAAGGCUACGCCACAUCACACUACACUACAAAUCACUUAUUAAAUAAUUUUAGCUGUUAAAAAAAUAAUAUAUAUGCGGCUGGUCAAAGACCACGAUUUUGCCAAGCGCACGCUCAUUCCAACACAUGGACCAGGCAAAAAUAAUACAUACUUUCAAACGGAUUUUAGAAAAGCAAGCACCCAAAGCUUAAAGUCUCACUUACCUCACAAAUGACAAGUUUUCCAACCUUGCGACUUCUAGAACACCAACCAAACAGCCUCCAAUUGACUCAAUCUAUCCAAAAUAUUAAUUAACAAUGUCAACUAUGCUAGUCGGGUUAAUUUCUUAUAUUAGAGUACAAUUUGAUACUCGGCAUAUGGCAUGUUAACUACUUGACUAAUCUUUUAGUUACAUAGAUAUUCAAAAGCACAUUAAAGCUCAUUAAGACUAAAUUUAUUCCUAAGUAGAAUAUGAUAGUGUCGGUUUCAUAGAUACAUGUGAAUCUUUACCUGAAGAAUGAAUAUAUAUAAAUACAAUUAGUCCAAUAUUGUAUGAAGUUUUCUGGAAAAGAUUCCUAUGCCAAGUAUUCUGACUCCAUAAUACCAAUCUUAAAGGGCUUUGUUAUUAAUAACUAAUACUGAGGUUCUAUUAUAAGAUUCUAUGUAUUUUUCCAAGGUUUUCUAAGUAUAUGUCUGCCAUGAUCAGUAUGUAUCCAAAGUAAUUCUUGUAAACAUUACAAAUAGCUUUAAUUACCCCUAAUUUAAUCCUAGGAAUAUGAAGUUAAUCUUAUACCUGGAUAGCAAAUUUGAGUUGCAAAAGCAGUCUCAGUCUCCUAAUUCCCGGUUUCGACAUUGCACUCCACCAAAGAGACAAAUUAUAGCCUUUUCUGCCAAAACAUGAGCGCCGCCGACUAAUCCCUUAUGU
rnacentral:lncRNA from 1 species